ACUUUGGUUCUGGAUGAAUGGUUUGCGACUGAUGACCUUAGUGCAUUAGUUUGGUUUCUCCAACACUCGCCAAUUCUAGAGAAGCUUUCUCUUCAACUUCCAGUGGUGGUACCCAAAAUAUCAGUAAGAAGAUACAGUCCAAUUGAACAAUCAGUUGCAUCUGAUCAUCUUGAAUUAGUUGAAAUCAAAUGUCAAGAUGUUGAUGAGAUGGUUGUCGCAAUCUUGGAGAUUUUAAAUGUCUUUGGCGUACCACUGGAGAGAAUUCAGAUCCAUAAGAGUUCAUGGUUUGGCUGUUUUAACUUUGUAUGCACGGGUUUCAACACCAAAUAGAG